rnacentral:rRNA from 1 species
CGCGUAGGAAUCUACCUGGUAAUGGGGGACAACCUGUGGAAACGCAGGCUAAUACCGCAUACGCCCUAAGGGGGAAAGUAGGGGAUCUUCGGACCUUACGUUAUCAGAUGAGCCUGCGUAGGAUUAGCUAGUUGGUGGGGUAAUGGCCCACCAAGGCGACGAUCCUUAGCUGGUCUGAGAGGAUGAUCAGCCACACUGGGACUGAGACACGGCCCAGACUCCUACGGGAGGCAGCAGUGGGGAAUAUUGCACAAUGGGCGCAAGCCUGAUGCAGCCAUACCGCGUGUGUGAAGAAGGCUU